rnacentral:lncRNA from 1 species
UGUUUUGCAAGCAGGGGGCGAGGACCUGGGCGCUGGCCCGCGGCUGGGGCUCAACCUGCAGGUGGAGGUCUCGCAGGUAGUGGGCAAGCAAGCUGGAAAACCCGGGAUUGGCUCUCCGGAGGUGGGAGAAGAUGUACUGGGGUCCCACGACGUGAGCGCCCCGCCGGCGCCCAGAUCCUGCAACGCGCACUCGAGGAGAGGUGAAGGUCCCAACGGACAGGAAAAAGAAGAUGCUGAGAGGCCGAGGGAAGCGAGGAGCCGGGUCGUCAGUCUCCAGCUGCUUAUACUGCAGAUCCGCCUGGCUCCCUAGCAUACUAGGAACGUCUUCCCAGGGCCCUGCACACCCCGGGAGUUUUCCAGCCCUGAGGAUCCUGCAGCGCAUUGGAUAUGCUUCAGUAACAUCAGGAGUGGAACCAUGGGAUUCACAUCAGUUAGUCAUGGCUACAUCCCAAGCAAGCUUCUGUGGUGUUCCCAAACGCGGUGUCAACAGGGACCCUGGAAGGAGGGCCAUGAGCCAAAGCGCUAUCAGGGGCCACAUGUGUGAAGUCAGAUGGCCCACACCCAGAGCCACUUGCCACUGCAGCUGCAAGAAGAGUCAGUUGAUACCAUGAGGCUAUGAAGGCCUAAUACAAAGAUGAUCCUGGCUUGUGAUGACAACAAACCAAACCAAACAAAACCCAACACACUGAAAGUCAGUUGCAACAAGUAAGAAAGGAAGUAUUGGAGCUCUCAUAGCCUCGCCUAGAAUUGGGCUUUUCCAGGAACCCAUCCUGUGAUGUGAACAUUGAUCAAUACACCCCAAGAUAGGAUGCACAGUGAGAACCAGAAAAACUCUUGUCUCACCCUCCUUCAGAAAAUGCACUCACCUCAUGAAAUGUUUGCAGGACUGGCCUGACUGGAAAGCACCGAAAAGAAACAUAUUCUUAGCAAAUAUUCCGAGAAUUUCACAUUCUGCAGAACUUCUUGAUUCGUAUGCAUUUCAUUUGAGUUGAAUACAAGUUCUUUAUGUCUUACUUGGCAAAUAGAAAUAAACUUUUGAAGCAUGAAAAUGGGAAGUUCGAAAUCUAUCCAAUAGGAAUCCUUCAAGCAUUUCAAACUAAGAAGUUCUCCCGUUACACUUACAUUUAAAGGUGAUCUCAUGAGCUGUCUAGAAGAAAGAAUUAGAAAAGAAGAGCUGAAAAUACAAACUUUUACAAACAACACUUACCACCUUCAAAUCAGUUGUUGUAAGAGAUGCCCAACUAAAAUAGUUUUGGGAUCGGAGUUGGAACCUUUUGGGGUGUUCUUGGAAACUACUUAUUAGCAUCGCCCCAAACUCUCAACUGACCUUGCAUUAUUAAAGUCUGUAAAGUUUUAAUAUCUCUUAAAAUUACUUGACCACAGAACUCUUCUCUCAUUUCAUACCGACUAAAUCUGAUAUUACUUAGGAUUAAAUUUGGGAUGCUGUGCUGGCUGGCCAUAUGUCAAGGAGAUGCACAAAUGAGACAUAUUUGAGCGGAGGGAACCUCAAUUAAGAAAACACCUCCAGAAAAUCUGGCUAUAAGGCAUUUUUUAUAAAUUAGUGAUUGAUGUGGGAGGGCCCAGCCCAUUGUGGGUAGGGCCAUCCCUGGACUGGUGGUCCUGGGUUCUAUAAGAAAGCAGGCUGAACAAGCCAUGAGGAGCAAGCCAGUAAGCAGCACCCCUCCAUGGCUUCUGCAUCAGCUCCUGCCUCCAGGUUCCUGCCCUAUUUGAAUUCCCAUCCUGACUUACUUCGAUGAUGAACAAGAGUAUGGAAAUGUAAGCCAAAUAAACACUUUCCUCCACAA